rnacentral:rRNA from 1 species
GACGAACGCUGGCGGCGUGCUUAACACAUGCAAGUCGAACGAUGAAGCUAGAGCUUGCUCUGGUGAAUUAGUGGCGAACGGGUGAGUAACACGUGAGUAACCUGCCCCGAACUCUGGGAUAACUACUGGAAACGGUAGCUAAUACCGGAUAUGACCAAUGAAGGCAUCUUCUGUUGGUGGAAAGAAUUUCGGUUCGGGAUGGACUCGCGGCCUAUCAGCUUGUUGGUGAGGUAACGGCUCACCAAGGCGACGACGGGUAGCCGGCCUGAGAGGGUGAUCGGCCACACUGGGACUGAGACACGGCCCAGACUCCUACGGGAGGCAGCAGUGGGGAAUAUUGCACAAUGGGCGCAAGCCUGAUGCAGCAACGCCGCGUGAGGGACGACGGCCUUCGGGUUGUAAACCUCUUUUAGUAGGGAAGAAGCGAAAGUGACGGUACCUGCAGAAAAAGCACCGGCUAACUACGUGCCAGCCGCCGCCGUAA